GGGGGGGGGGGGGGGGGGGGGGGGGGGGGGGGGGGGGGGGGCGGGGGGGGGGUGCGGGUGGCGACUGGGUGAGGAGCGAACGGGGGAGUAGCGCGGGGGGAAUCUGCCUUUGAGCGGGGGACAACAUGUGGAAACGAAUGCUAAUACCGCAUAAGAACUUUAAACACAAGUGUUAAGGUUGAAAGAUGCAAUUGCAUCACUCAAAGAUGAUCCCGCGUUGUAUUAGCUAGUUGGUGAGGUAAAGGCUCACCAAGGCGAUGAUACAUAGCCGACCUGAGAGGGUGAUCGGCCCAAUUGGGACUGGGACACGGCCCAAACUCCUACGGGAGGCAGCAGUAGGGAAUCUUCGGCAAUAGACGAAAGUCUGACCGAGCAACGCCGCGUGAGUGAAGAAGGUUUUCGGAUCGUAAAACCCUGUUGGUAGAGAAGAACGUUGGUGAGAGUGGAAAGCUCAUCAAGUGACGGUAACUACCCAGAAAGGGACGGCUAACUACGUG
rnacentral:rRNA from 1 species